CCGCGAACCUCACUCCUCUUUCCCUUGAGGUACCGUGAAAUCCCUAAUUCCCCACCACAAGCCGCCACUUGCGCCGCCGUCAACAUCGCGACGCUCACUGCUCUCUCCGGCCGGCCACUGCACCGCUCCGUCGUCCUCAAACCCUCCCGCCGCCCCACACCACCCAUCCCCCACGAGCUCAAACCCUCUCCUUCACCAAGUUGCUCCAUCCCCACCUUGUCACCAAGAACACCGGCGUCGUCGUCGUCCUAGGCACCAGGCAGAUCCCGGCGAAGACCAGGCUCAACCUGUGCCGGAAGCUCUUGUCGGCCGUGGUGGAGCACUGCUCCAUGCCAUCUCGCUUCUCCACCUCUGCCCCCGCGUCAUCCUGCCUCUCCACCAGUGCCCCCACACAACCAUGCUCCCCGCCGUCGCCACGUACUCCCUGCUGCCGCCGCUGGCGAUUUCCCAUGAAGGCCAGACUUUUGCCGUUCAUAUUCAAGAGACCAUAUCCAUUUGACGUGCUAUGACACUAUGAUAUGAAGUUAGAAAAAAUUUCAAGCCAUCAUCAAGCAAUGGAGGAAGCUAUAGAUCCUGGAGCAUCGAACAGAUAAAUCACGCUAGGCAACCCGCCAUUUUGGAGGCAUUGCCAUGACACAACAGUAUGGGUCGCUCGAUUCUUUUACGACUGUACUUUUUUGGCUGCUGGCAGUCGGUACACCAUUAAUUGUUUCUCCACCUGAGUUGUACACUACCUUUUUAUUUUUAUUUAGAUUCUUUCGGAUUUCCAGUUUAUUAGCUGCAAAAGGGGUCCAGUAAUCUGCAUUCUGCAUAAAGCUUAGGCUUUAAUUGAUUGUUAUGUCAAGUGAAAUCAUGCAUGAUAAGGGUUAUUGCUGUUGGAGGAAACAUUGUGUACAAUAUGUUUGGUGGUAGUUAAAAGGAGGGGAACAUAUUAUUGUGAUGUUAUAGUUUCUUGGAAGUAGUUUCAUCUAUUUGUUUACAACAUUGUUGGUUUGCUGCCUUUUAGUAUUGGAGUGUGUAAUCACACGCGUUCUUAUAUCUUCUAGGUUAUUUCUCGUUUUAACUCCUCUCCUGCGGAUUCUCCUAGGUUGCAGGCGAAGAUGAACUCCUGAUGGUCUACGCCGUCCUGCUUUGCCAUGGAGGUAAACGAGCUGAAGUGUACCAGGGAAUAUGCAUAUACACCACACCUAAUCCACCACUAUUUUCUUGUGGCGACUGGCGAGGAGAAGAUACAAAUGCCUUCAAAUCCACCACUUAUCCCCACUACUAUUUAUUUGGCUAUUUUUUGUCUCCUCUCUAAUUAUGGUUCUUUUGUCUAUUUUUUAUUAUCUGCAGGCUAAGCAAACCUUGACUCUGGCUAGUUGGUCUUGGAAGCUGGAAACCAGUUCAUAUAUAAGAUUCAUAGGUGGUGGUCUACGUCUCUUAUUUCUACGAGUGCUCAUUUUCCUGAUCUGGAGCUAUGGUAUUAUCUUUGGUUUCAUCAUAUUUUCCUUCCCUGAUUUUUAUUGAUGCUUGGCUAUGUUAUGGGAUGGGACCUCCAUGUGCCAGUAUUUUUAGCCGAUCAGUAUGCGGUGCU